rnacentral:lncRNA from 1 species
ACUCACUCCAUGAGUUGCUCCUGCAACAAGUAGACACAUGGACAAAGAAUGCUGGGAAGGAACUGGAAUUUGACUCUUGGAAGAUGUUUUCUAUUCUGAAGACCUAACAAUUUGUAAAUCCUGCUGGAGACCAAGUCAACCUAAACCAGAAUUUAAAAUAGGAUACCGAAUACAACAUUUUCUAUAUAAUAGAUUUUCAAAAAGAUUAUAGACUUAAAAUGGAAAUUGAAAGAUUUUCAGCUCAUGGUCUUAGUCGUCAACAGCAAUAUAUGUCUAAGGAAAUGAUAAGAGUGGGCUACAGAUGUGGAUCAGAGUCUACCCUCAAUAUGUUGUAUGCCUUGCACCAGGACUCAGAAAUUCCCCUCAGGAAGACAAGGGUAUCUGCUAUUUUGUUUAUAACCCCUGCCCUGAAAACACAAUUUC